AACGAACGCUGGCGGCAUGCCUAACACAUGCAAGUCGAACGAGACCUUCGGGUCUAGUGGCGCACGGGUGCGUAACGCGUGGGAACCUGCCCUUAGGUUCGGAAUAACUCCCCGAAAGGGGUGCUAAUACCGGAUAAUUUCUUCGGACCAAAGAUUUAUCGCCUUUGGAUGGGCCCGCGUUGGAUUAGCUAGUUGGUAGGGUAAAAGCCUACCAAGGCGACGAUCCAUAGCUGGUCUGAGAGGAUGAUCAGCCACACGGGGACUGGGACACGGCCCAGACUCCUACGGGAGGCAGCAGUGGGGAAUAUUGGAAAAUGGGCGAAAGCCUGAUCCAGCAAUGCCGCGUGAGUGAUGAAGGCCUUAGGGUUGUAAAGCUCUUUUACCCGGGAUGAUAAUGACAGUACCGGGAGAAUAAGCUCCGGCUAACUCCGUG
rnacentral:rRNA from 1 species